rnacentral:hammerhead_ribozyme from 1 species
AUCCAUCUGAUGAGUCCUAAAUAGGACGAAACACGCGUUUUGGAU